UCUCUCUCUCUCUCUCUCUUCCUCUUUCCAUGUCUCUCAUUCCUGGCUCCAAACCCGCUUGGGUCCAGCAGAGCUCCCCAGCUUCGGGCCCCACGGAGGCGACCAGGUAGGUCCAGAUCUCUGUUCUGAGCGCGAACAUUUGGACAGGAAUGCGCUGGAGACUAGGUGGUGGUGAAGACUCUAGUCCCCUGCUGAAAGGCCCCAGACCCUUGCUGGCCAAUGAGGUGCCCGUGCUUGCUAAGGCUUGUGCCCACCUGUCCUUGAACUACUUUUCUCUCAGCGGGCUUCCUUUCCCAGGGUCAGGAGCUGGAUGCAGACCCGAGCACUGCGAGGAAAGUAACACACACUCAGAGAAGUAAUACUCAAGAGAUCCAGAGGCAGCCAAAAGGAACCUGGACUAAGACUACCAAGUCUUCUCUCCUAAGGUCAGAAAUGGAGGCCUGGAGGCGUCCGCUUGCCGUGGUCAUUCACCGUCUGUGAAAUAGAUGCCCAAGGCAGGAGGGCCAGCUGGGUGAAGACUGGCUGCACCAUCGGGCAUUUGCUUUGGGGAGACCUGGGCUUUGGUGCAGUGCUUCUGCAGCAGCAGGUGCCCUGUGCAAAGUGAAGCACCCCCCAGUCAUCUAAGUGCUCACAAACGCUUGGUCUGGGGGGUGGGGGACUGGGUGUAGCAUGUGAAGGAUCCUGCAGGUGCCUGACAGAGUGUUUGCACUUUCCUCUGGAUGCUUGAGGUCCAGUACACUUUGGACUUGUGUUUUCUCUGUCCCCUUCAAAGACAAAGGAGGAGAGGCAUGUCUCUUAGUGACUAAAGCAUCUCCUUGUUUUUCUUCCUUUCCAAAGAACUGGCUGCCUGUCUCCUCUUCCAUAAGGCAGUGACUGGCAGAGAGCUGUUGGGGGAAAUAGGAUAUGGGGGCUUGACUCUUCUUGGAGCCCCACCUCCAACCUGUCUGAACAUUUCAAAGUUUUUCUUGUGCUCUAAUGGGAAGGUUGCUCAAAUAUAGGGUUAGAAAUGCUAAUUACCUUAUUGGCUAAUGUUUAAAUGAUCAUCUCAUCAAUGAAUUCCAGUUUCCUUCAUCACAUUUUUCCUAAAUAAGGAAGAGAAUUAGGCUUUAUUAUAACUUCCAGGGAAGCUUUUGAGGGUAAAGUGAGAUGAGUAACUGAGAGAAAAGGGGUCUCAUUCAAAGGGGAAUGGAGAAGAUGAAAACUUAAAAUCCCUUAAAGAAUGGCUCCUAGGAUCCAGUUCUUCCACUGAACAAACAAUUCUCACCUUUGUCUAGGCAAAGAAGCUAAAUGAUCACUUGCAUAAAGAGAUGACUGGGGGUUUCCAUCAGACGCCAUCCCCAGCCUUGUACAUGACAGCAGACUCAGGCUUUUGGGAACCCAUCCUCACACCAACACAUCAAGAACAGCUGACUGUGGCCAAUGGAGGAGAAGGACAGUGGGAUGAGCAAGGUGGAGACCAGCAUGGACCAGUGGGAAGGUGGGAAAAGAGAAGCCAGAGACUAGCCAAGGUCCUGAGUCAUUUGUGAUCACAAGAGGAAUUAGGAGAAGGAAUAAACCUUGUGAAGGGUCCCUGAAAGGGCACAAUGAAGGAGGGAGAUGAGAUGAAAAUGGAAUAGAAGGAAGAGAAUUGGAAGACUCAAGGAAUUCGCCUUCAAGCUGGUUUGUCUUUCAGAAGAAGGGAAAGGCCCAGCCCACCAGCACUGAUGCUGGGGACAUCAUUGAGGGAGUUGACAAGGAGAGAGCUCUCCAAAAAAGCAGCUCCUUUGGGAUUGACCUUCCCACCAGAAGGGAUGGGUGUCAGCUUCCUUUCAGGCCUGAGAGAAAAGAGUUCUUGGAGAGGAACUCUGGGCUUUUUUCCCCCCACCUAACACAAUGAACUAGAAGACAUUCUCCCACCUUCCGGAGCUGGAGGAAUAUUGGGCACAAAAUGGAGGGCAAGGUGAACAAUUCUCUGGCAUCUGGCAGAUUGGGGGGUGUCUCAGGGAAGGCUGCUUUCCCCAUCUAUAGAACAAAGAGGCCAGCUGAAUGAAAAGACAGCUGGAGUGCUUUCUUCUUGGGGAAAAAGGCUUCGGAAUGAUUGUGGGAACUGGGAGCCCACAGUUGUUCCUUGAAGUUGUAUGUUGAUGGUAAGAUUUGAAUAAAGAAGUAGGAGGAGACGGUGUCAAAUUUCUUCUCCCCCUUCAGCAGGAAGAGAAAAUGAGCACAGGUCCUAGGCAGGAGAAGAGAAAAGAGGCAGCCGGAAAGACCGCUGAGUGGGCAGGGAAGGGGCAUCCUCCAUGAAACAAUAACAUAUUGCAUGUGAUCAGGACAGUCAGCCGAGCUCAGGGAACCAGCCCCAGAGACGCUAAGAAAUGGCCAAGGGAGCACAGUUUCGGGGAAAGGAGCCGUCACAGGGCUAGCCCCAACUGCCGUCCUUGUGGCAAGAAGGGCACCUCUAAUGGAGAGUCCCCGGCCCGGGCGCCCCAGGGAAACACGCCAGGAGCCUCCUCACGGGGAGUCCCAGACCUGGCAUCCCCCGACCUUCGCACUCUCAACCCGGGAAGGGAGAGAACCUUUCUCUCUGCCUCCCGAUGCUGGUUCAACCUGCUCGAGGCUGAAUGCGGAGGAAGGUAAAGCCUUGAGGACAAUUCCCUGACAUGGAAAUGGGCUUAGGGACUAGGCACGACGCGAACACAUUGAACCAACACAAGCAUUCGCUCACCGGAGGGAGAAGUCGGGCAGUGACUCCAUCAGCACUCUGGGAGGCGGGGACAGCAGAGAUGGGCUACACGGCCAUCUCAGAACGGCAGUCAGACGGAGAUGCCCAGGCGCAGAUGGGACAAGGACGCCAGCUACCCCGGGGGUGGAGGAAGCGGGUCUGGGGCCAUGGGUUGGCCAUGGGGUCAUUGGGGCACCCCAACAAUAGGAUACUCAUUGCGGGGACAAGGGUCAGAGAUUCCUAGGCCCCGGGAUCUUAUUGCAGAUACAGGAGCAGAGACAAAUGGGGAACUGGCUGUGGCUAGGGCAUGGGGAUGCGCUCUCUCUCUCUCUCUCUCUCUUUUUUUUUUUUUUUUUAGUGAGGCAAUUGGGGUUAAGUGACUUGCCCAGGGUCACACAGCUAGUAAGUGUUAAGUGUCUGAGGCUGGAUUUGAACUCAGGUACUCCUGAUUCUAGGGCCAGUGCUCUAUCCACUGCGCCACCUAGCUACCCUGAGCUCUCCUUUUUAAUGACGUUUUCCAGACGCUCUCUUCUUCCUCCCUCCCCACCGCACCCCUAACACAGUCGUCCCUUUUAACCAAGUACAGUGAAGAAAGAUCAUCACACUAGCUCUAUCGGAAUAUGCAUGCCUCAUUCCACACCUGUGGUCUGCCACUUCUCUGUCAAGAGGAGGGGAGUUCCUUUCAUCUCUCAAGGCAAGAUUGUCAUCGUGUUGACCAGAUUUAUGGAAUCUUGCCACACUCUUUUCCUUUUAUGAUGUGUGGGACUGCAACAGCCCCUAGUCCAGCCUUAAGUGAGAAGUGGCCAUCCAGUUCCAGGGGAGGUUCAGAACACAGUAAUUUCUCCUUUUUCUGCUAGGCCUUCAGAUAUAUGCAGAUGGCCACCAUUUCCCCUCCGUGUCUUCUUUUGUCCAGGACAAACAUGCCCAAGUCUUUCUUCCAGUACAAUCAAUCAAUACAUUGAGGAAGUCUGACAACAUGUGCCAUGUGUAGCCCCUGUGACCCUCCUGCCUCCCCCAUGGGCUGGGCUGGAGACAUCCUCUCCUUCCUCUUCAGCCAAGUCCUGUGGGUUGUUCAUUCCAUUGACAUGGUGGAAGUCACUGUGGAUGUUGUUUUCUUGGCUCUGCUGACUUCCCUCUGCAUCAGUUUGUGUAGAUCUUUCCAUGCUUUUCUGUAUUCAUCACAUGUAUCCUUUCUUUUUCUUUUUUUU